CCUACGGGAGGCUGCAGUGAGGAAUAUUGGUCAAUGGGCGGAAGCCUGAACCAGCCAAGUAGCGUGCAGGAUGACGGCCCUACGGGUUGUAAACUGCUUUUAUACGGGAAUAACGCGCCUUACGUGUAGGGCUUUGCAUGUACCGUAUGAAUAAGGACCGGCUAAUUCCGUGCCAGCAGCCGCGGUAAUACGGAGGGUCCGGGCGUUAUCCGGAUUUAUUGGGUUUAAAGGGAGCGUAGGCCGAAUGUUAAGCCUGUUGUGAAAGGUUGCGGCUCAACCGUAGCAUUGCAGUGCAAACUGGAAGUUGGGAGUAGAGUAGAGGUGGGCGGAAUUCGAGGUGGAGCGGUGAAAGGGUUAGAGGUAGGGAAGAA
rnacentral:rRNA from 1 species